rnacentral:tRNA from 1 species
AUUAAGAUGUCUGAUUAAAAGUAGAAAACUGUAAAUUUUCCAAUGAAUGUUUAUUCUCUUAAUA